UACGUAGGGUGCGAGCGUUAAUCGGAAUUACUGGGCGUAAAGCGUGCGGAGGCGGCUUUGCAAGACAGAUGUGAAAUCCCCGGGCUCAACCUGGGAACUGCAUUUGUGACUGCAAGGCUAGAGUACGGCAGAGGGGGAUGGAAUUCCGCGUGUAGCAGUGAAAUGCGUAGAUAUGCGGAGGAACACCAAUGGCGAAGGCAAUCCCCUGGGCCUGUACUGACGCUCAUGCACGAAAGCGUGGGGAGCAAACAGG
rnacentral:rRNA from 1 species